UCAUCAGAUGAGUCUGCGUACCAUUAGCUAGUUGGUAGGGUAAAGGCCUACCAAGGCGACGAUGGUUAGCUGGUCUGAGAGGAUGACCAGCCACACUGGAACUGAGACACGGUCCAGACUCCUACGGGAGGCAGCAGUGGGGAAUUUUGCGCAAUGGGCGAAAGCCUGACGCAGCAACGCCGCGUGAGUGAUGAAGGCCUUCGGGUCGUAAAGCGCUUUUGAGGGGGACGAGAUAGGACGGUACCUCUCGAAUAAGUCACGGCUAACUACGUGCCAGCAGCCGCGGUAAAACGUAGGUGGCAAGCGUUAUCCGGAUUCACUGGGCGUAAAGCGCGUGCAGGUGGCUUCGUAAGUUGGACGUUAAAUCUCCCGGCCUAACCGGGAGGAGUCGUUCAAUACUGCGGGGCUAGAGGGCAGAAGAGGGGGGUGGAAUUGCUGGUGUAGUGGUGAAAUGCGUAGAUAUCAGCAGGAACACCCGUGGCGAAAGCGGCCCCCUGGUCUGCUCCUGACACUCAGACGCGAAAGCUAGGGGAGUGAACGGGAUUAGAAACCCCGGUAAUCCUAGCCGUAAACGAUGGAUGCUAGGUGUGGGUGGUAUUGACCCCAUCCGUGCCGAAGCUAACGCGUUAAGCAUCCCGCCUGGGGACUACGGCCGCAAGGUUA
rnacentral:rRNA from 1 species